rnacentral:rRNA from 1 species
CAGCCCCAUCAGCUAGCCCCGCCCCCAGAAGCAACCACCAACAUUUAUACCCACAAAUGUACUUUUUACCCAAAACAAAACAUUUUUUUACCCAAGUAUAGGAGAUAGAAAAGGAAAAGAGAGCUAUAGAACAAGUACCGCAAGGGAAAACUGAAAGAGAAGUGAAAAAACCCAGUUAAGGCUAGAAAAGCAGAGCUAAACUCUCGUACCUUUUGCAUCAUGACUUAGCUAGCAUCCCCAAGCAAAAAGAAUUUUAGUUUGAUACCCCGAAACUAAGUGAGCUACUUCAAGACAGCUUUUUGAGCAAACCCGUCUCUGUGGCAAAAGAGUGGGAAGAUCUUCAAGUAGAGGUGAAAGACCUACCGAACCUAGUUAUAGCUGGUUGCCUAUGAAAAGAAUACAAGUUCCGCUUAUAAUCUUCUUUUUUUGUAUAAAGGUACCCCUUAAAGAAAUUAAAAGAAAAUUAUGAGGCAAAUUAAAGGGGGGACAGCCCCUUUAAUUAGAGAAACAACUCUGCCUGUCGGCUAAGGACCACAACAUCAAAGAUAUAAAUAUUUCAGUGGGCCUAAAAGCAGCCACCAAAACUAAAAGCGUUAAAGCUUAAAUAUUUUUAUUAUCUACAAUUCUGGCGUCACAAUCCAAAGCCCCUCCCGAUUAAUAGGCCCCUUUAUGCAAACAUAAAAGCGACACUGCUAACAUGAGUAAUAAGAAGGCUAAGACCUUCUCCUCGCCCCCGUGUAAAUCAGAACGAACUAGCACUGAGCAUUAACGCACCCAAAACCCAGAGGGUACUGAAGCAAAUAAUUAUGCACAAGAAGAACAUUCAGCAAGAAAGCGUUAACCCCACACAGGACGGCCAAAGAGGAAAGACAAAAAGGAAAAGAAGGAACUCGGCAAACAAAAGCCUCGCCUGUUUACCAAAAACAUCACCUCUUGCCCCCCCCCAUAUAAGAGGCACCGCCUGCCCAGUGACCCUAAAAAGUUUAACGGCCGCGGUAUUUUGACCGUGCAAAGGUAGCGUAAUCACUUGUCUUUUAAUUGGAGACCUGUAUGAAUGGCACCACGAAGGCCUAGCUGUCUCCUUUCCCCUGUCAAUGAAAUUGAUCCCCCCGUGCAGAAGCGGGGAUAGUACCAUAAGACGAGAAGACCCCAUGGAGCUUUUAGACAAAGGCAGCCCAUAUAAGCUCCUGCCUCAACCAGCAGAGCAAUGAACUGGUAACCUGCCCCCCGUCUUUGGUUGGGGCGACCGCGGGGUAACACAAACCCCCCACGUGGAAUGGGACAAACCUCCCUUAAACAUGAGCGCCAGCUCUAAUUUUCAGAACCUCUGGCCUACAAGAUCCGGCAAUGCCGAUUAACGGACCAAGUUACCCUGGGGAUAACAGCGCAAUCCUCUCACAGAGCCCCUAUCGACGAGAGGGUUUACGACCUCGAUGUUGGAUCAGGACAUCCUAAUGGUGCAGCCGCUAUUAAGGGUUCGUUUGUUCAACGAUUAAAGUCCUACGUGAUCUGAGUUAAGACCGGAGAAAUCCAGGUCAGUUUCUAUCUAUGAAUACUCUUUUCUAGUACGAAAGGACCGAAAAGAGGGGGCCCAUGCUAACAGUAAGCCCUCCCCCACCCUAAUGAGGCCAACUCAAUUAGCUACGGGGGGGAAAUUCCCUGCCAAAGAGUAAGGCAA